AUCGCUUCUCGGCCUUUUGGCUAAGAUCAAGUGUAGUAUGUUCAAUUAAUGGAUUUUUAAAAAAUGAACUUUUGGCAUCUUACAACAAACAGUUUCUUUUCACUCAGGCUUUGUAGUAUAUCUGGGGAGAAAGAAAUCAUC
rnacentral:snRNA from 1 species